rnacentral:lncRNA from 1 species
AUGCUGAGCCCUACACUCCCUCUGCAGUCCCUGGUCCGACUUGAGAACCUUCCCAUGCCAGGUGAAACAUUUCGCCAAAUCUCAUACUUCACACGUCGGCGAUCCACAAAUACUUUUAUUAGCUUCCUUGUGUGCAAGCCGCCAGAAGCUGUAUGUCAUUUUUCCUCCGUGAAACCAACAUUCAACUCAACCGUAAGAACGACGACAGCAACAAUAAUAAUCAUUUCCAUGAAGUUAACCUGGUUGCACUUGAUCGAUUGUGGGGACUUUCGUCUGGAGCCAAUCUGUGCCACAGAGCCAGUUGAAGCAUUCGUAUGUAGCCACAGAUGCUUAUCUCUCCUCGUAACAUCUCUGAGAGCAACAGCAGACAAGGAUGAGGCUGGUUUGGCUUCUGAGGACGGGGACCGCCUGAGACAAUAAUUCCAUCAG